AGUGAACGCUGGCGGCGUGCCUAAUACAUGCAAGUCGAACGGAGUGGCGCACGGGUGAGUAAUAUCUAGCUAAUCUGCCCCUUGCUGGGGGAAAACCGUUUGAAAUGACUGCUAAUACUCCAUAGCAAGGGAUGUGCCUAUAUCGUAUCAGCUAGUCGGUGGGGUAACGGCCUACCGAGGCUAUGACGAGUAACUGGUCUGAGAGGAUGAUCAGUCAAAUUCGAACUGAGACACGGUCCAGAAACCUACGGCAGUGAGCAGUAGGGUGUAGUGCGCAAUGGGGGAAACUCAGACGGAGCAACGCGGCGUGGAGGACGACACGUGUCGAGGAAUAGACUCAUUUUGUUAGGUAUGCGGUACCUGACGAAUAAGCACCGGCUAACUCCGUGCCAGCAGCCGCGGUAAUUC
rnacentral:rRNA from 1 species